CGCAAGGGGAAAUCGUCGCUCUUUUGUAUAGUAUAAGUUUGAUGCGGGUUACUACUUGUAGUAUUGCCUGCACAUUCUUGUAUAUUUAGUUGCAAGAUGUUGUCGGCGUGCACUUCUCCCCUAGUAGGACGUCGCGACCUGUUGGGUGUCGGUCUACGGCCCAAGUGAUAGCCUUUAAUGUAAUUUAAAAAACAUUGAAGAUCCUUGGUGUUUUCUGACCGGCUACUUGGCAGUAUUCGUACGGUAUUUAGCCGCUAAAUUUAUUAAGCGUCCAUAUCCAUCACAAGCGAGGCUAAUUUACUGAUAGUACGGACUAGUGCCGUCGUUGGUAUUGGCCAGCUGUUGGUUGAUGGUAU
rnacentral:rRNA from 1 species